rnacentral:misc_RNA from 1 species
UGUUAUUUCCAGAGUGAAUUUAGCCUAACACCACUGCUUUUUUCGACUGUAUCUUGUGCUGUUGCAUAAUGAUGUGUCUUUCAAAUACGCAAGAUUACAGCUCCUUUAAUGGAACUGGAUAGAAAAUUCAAUUGGUGAUUUAAAAAUAGAGCAGACUGAUUAAACAGAAAAACCCCGCUGGCAAAAGCUAACGGGGUUUCUUUGUAUUUAC